UAUAUACAGGCCAGGUGUAGUGUUGUAUUGUCUACUAUAUACAGGUCAGGUGUAGUGUUAUAUUGUCUACUAUAUACAGGCCAGGUGUAGUGUUAUAUUGUCUACUAUAUACAGGCCAGGUGUAGUGUUAUAUUGUCUACUAUAUACAGGUCAGGUGUAGUGUUAUAUUGUCUACUAUAUACAGGUCAGGUGUAGUGUUAUAUUGUCUACUAUAUACAGGCCAGGUGUAGUGUUAUAUUGUCUACUAUAUACAGGCCAGGUGUAGUGUUAUAUUGUCUACUAUAUACAGGCCAGGUGUAGUGUUAUAUUGUCUACUAUAUACAGGCCAGGUGUAGUGUUAUAUUGUCUACUAUAUACAGGUCAGGUGUAGUGUUAUAUUGUCUACUAUAUACAGGACAGGUGUAGUGUUAUAUUGUCUACUAUAUACAGGCCAGGUGUAGUGUUAUAUUGUCUACUAUAUACAGGCCAGGUGUAGUGUUGUAUUGUCUACUAUAUACAGGUCAGGUGUAGUGUUAUAUUGUCUACUAUAUACAGGUCAGGUGUAGUGUUAUAUUGUCUACUAUAUACAGGUCAGGUGUAGUGUUAUA